CGCAAUAAAAGUUACUCUGUUAAAAAAAAUAACCUUCUGUCUUUUUGUUGUUUGUGGUGCAAUGCUGCAUAAAGUUUUUCGAACUAAAAACAAACUUUUGAAACUUUCUUCUAUCCAUAAAAUUAAAAGAAAUGCCUUUAUGUGAAAACCGCCAUAUUGAGUAAAUAGUUACUUACUAAUCGCAAAGACAAACAACAAAACUUAAUGUUUUUUUCGAGACAAACAUAAAAGAACAGAAAACUAGCUGCCUGACAUCUAACAUGAAGAGAUGAAGCAAAUUCCCUAAUAUCCUGGUCUUUCGGUACCAAAUUGUAACGUUUCGCCCUACCUCCUGCCUAACUCCUACAUAAUGGAUUUACUAAGAAGAUAUUUGAAAACACCUAACUAACUUGAGUGAAAUAAGAGUGAAACAAAUACUGUUUUGAAUUGGCCAUGAAACAUCCAGUGAACCCCUACGUUGUGAUGUAACCCAAUAAACGAAAGAUAGUGAAUUAAAUAAAACUAUGACCUAGAACUGAUUA